UCAUGACUGGAGCUGAAGGCAGAGGCUUUAACCCACUGAGCCACCCAGGCGCCCCCAGAAAGUCAUUUUGAAAGAAUGGAUGAGUCUGCAAAAAGGAACAAGCAUGGUAUCAGGGAAGUGAGAUGGCUCUGAAGUCACUGGAUACCCUGGGAAAAUAUAUGGACUGAGGUGACCUGUUAUUUUAGAGCACAGAGGCGCUGGGGACUAAGAUGGGGGCUUCCACAAUUUGGGAAGUCAGACUGGAGACUCCUUUAGGGAAAGAGCAAGCAAGUGGCAAAGGAAGUAGGCAAAGGAAAGGUUCUCCGUGGUCUCGUCUCUGAAUAGAGAUUAAAAGCAGAACCUCUCCCCUGAAAAUUGGUGGGCACUCACUUGUCCUCAUGUGUGCAUUUGUUGUUUGAAUUAAUACUGUUUGCACGAUCUGAAAAAGCCUAAAUCUAGAAUUAUAAUUUAAGAGGGGACCUGGCCUUUAAUAAAUGCUGUAGGCACUUGGCAGAACCAUACUGUAACUCUGUUUGGAAGUAAACAUCUUCAGUCAAGUUGCAAAGAAUUGCCACAGAUUUACAUAUGAUAGGAACACGUAAUCUGAAAUUACUGUCAUAAUAAGCCACCAUGCGUGAAAGUCAGUAGUAACAGCAUACCAAAGAACCAAACUCCAUAGACUCCAGUUCUUGGAAUAUAAAUGCAGUUUAUGCUUGAGGCAUUUUGAUGUUGUUAAAGGAAUAAAAGAAACUGAUAGCAUGAGUAAGGAGGAAGUGACUAUUACUGACCAGGCAGUUUUGAAAAUGAACCAAUUAGAAAUUGUAGAAAUGACAAAUAAAAAAUAAAUUGAAAAAUUGAAUAUUUGAAGUGAAAAAGAUUUUAGAAAAAAUAUUGUAAACUUCGCAUUUUGGAAGUCCCAAGAAAUAGAUUUGCUUGUUUUCUAAGGAUGAAACAGUUCUUUAAAACAUGAAGGCAAAAUAUAUUUUUAUAUAUGCAAAAAUAAGGAGUUUACCUGUUUAGCUAAAAUCCCCAUUCCUCCAAGUAACUUUGAAUGAUGUAUUUCUGAUCUUAGGAAGGAGGUGUGAGACAUAAGAAGUAUAACAAAAUAAGAUGGUAGAUACGGGGAUAAAUAUAAACACAUUAAUGAUGUGAAACAGGAACAUUUAAUGUAUGGAGUUCGAAAGCCUCAGUAAUAUCAGGGCAGUCUUUAAAGUACUGUACUAUAGUGGUGUAAGUGGGAUGGAGAUAACUAGAUCUAGAACAUCUUCAGGCCCUUGUGUUUAUUUGGGAAGAAGCUAAAUUUUGUAUUAUAAAUAUGGAAGUUGAAAGUUAAAGCUUAAUGUUCAAAAGAAAAUAGGAUCUGUACAAGACCUUUAUAGGGACUAUAGUAAGAUUUUAUUGAAUGAAAACAAAAAGUCGUAAGUAAAUGGAGAGAAAGAUCCUGUCUAUGGAUAGGGAACCUGGAUAACGGAAUUCAGUCAGUUUCUAACAAAUUGCCUUGUAAGUUUAUGCAGUUUCAUUCAAAGUUCCAAUAGCUUUUAAAAAUGCAAUGCAGGGGCACCUGGCUUCUGCAGCUCAUAUA